rnacentral:tRNA from 1 species
AGAGAAUUGUCCGAGUGGUCUAAGGAGGUAAGUUUGAGUUUUAUUGAAUCUAUAAAGGUUCCAUCCGUUCGAAUCGGAUAUUCUCUG